rnacentral:rRNA from 1 species
UACGAAGGGGCUAGCGUUGCUCGGAAUCACUGGGCGUAAAGCGCACGUAGGCGGAUUGUUAAGUCAGGGGUGAAAUCCCGGAGCUCAACUCCAGAACUGCCUUUGAUACUGGCGAUCUUGAGUCCGGGAGAGGUGAGUGGAACUGCGAGUGUAGAGGUGAAAUUCGUAGAUAUUCGCAAGAACACCAGUGGCGAAGGCGGCUCACUGGCCCGGUACUGACGCUGAGGUGCGAAAGCGUGGGGAGCAAACAGGG